UUUUCCGUCCCGCUGGUGGGUCUGCUUCCGGAAUCCUGAAACGUCAACCAUCAGUUCCAAACUAAACAAACUGCCUCCAGGAACAUAAGGAAAACAGUGAACAAAUCCAGAGUAGCGAGACCUCAGCAGCGGGGAACCCCUUUGUUGGAGGAAAGUACGAUCUGUAUGUACUCGGAGACCCAAAAACAUGCAGAGGUCACUGGCUUUACUUCCCGGGCUACCUCCUUAUGCUGUGUUGACAUAAGUGUGUGAGCCCUGCUGAAAAAUACCCCAAGGGAACGACAUUUUUGGUAUGAGGGAGGGACCACACCUUGUGGUAAUGGAACACAACAAGAUUGUAGGACAAGAACAAGCAAGGGACACUGAAAGGAGACAUGCAGUACCAGCAAAUCUUCUGCAAGAGGUCCAAACAGUUGGUGGUUGGUCUAUGAGCCCUACACCACUUCCGACAGUCUUAUCCAGCUGGCCAUACACCGCAGAUGGGUCAAAACCAUCGCCACAAACACUCGGCUUCCACAGCCCACCAUGCCAAACACCAUUGCCAGUGUACCGAAGCCGGAUAAAGGGCCAUAAAAUAAAUAUGGAUUUUUCCUCAAAAUUUGUCUGGCUUUAUAGAUUCACAGAAGAUAUUUAAACAAGCUGUACAGGGCUUUGUAGCAUCA